rnacentral:tRNA from 2 species
GGAAGAGUGGCCGAGCGGUUUAAGGCACUGGUCUUGAAAACCAGCGAUGGGCAACCAUCCGUGGGUUCGAAUCCCACCUCUUCCGCCA